CCUACGGGAGGCAGCAGUGAGGAAUAUUGGUCAAUGGUCGGGAGACUGAACCAGCCAAGCCGCGUGAGGGAGGAAGGUACAGAGUAUCGUAAACCUCUUUUGUCAGGGAACAAAGACUGGGACGCGUCCCCGGAUGAGUGUACCUGAAGAAAAAGCAUCGGCUAACUCCGUGCCAGCAGCCGCGGUAAUACGGAGGAUGCGAGCGUUAUCCGGAUUUACUGGGUGUAAAGGGCGUGUAGGCGGGAGUGCAAGUCAGAUGUGAAAACUAUGGGCUCAACCCAUAGCCUGCAUUUGAAACUGUACGUCGUGAGGGCUGGAGAGGCAAUCGGAAUUCCGGGUGUAGCGGUGAAAUGCGUAGAUAUACGGAGGAACACCAGUGGCGAAGGCGGAUUGCUGGACAGUAACUGACGCUGAGGCGCGAAAGCGUGGGGAGCAAACAGGAUUAGAUACCCGAGUAGUC
rnacentral:rRNA from 1 species